rnacentral:rRNA from 1 species
AACAGUCAGAAAUGGCUGCUAAUACCGCAUAAGCGCACAGGGCCGCAUGGCCCGGUGUGAAAAACUGAGGUGGUAUAAGAUGGACCCGCGUUGGAUUAGCCAGUUGGCAGGGUAACGGCCUACCAAAGCGACGAUCCAUAGCCGGCCUGAGAGGGUGAACGGCCACAUUGGGACUGAGACACGGCCCAGACUCCUACGGGAGGCAGCAGUGGGGAAUAUUGCACAAUGGGGGAAACCCUGAUGCAGCGACGCCGCGUGAAGGAAGAAGUAUCUCGGUAUGUAAACUUCUAUCAGCAGGGAAGAAAAUGACGGUACCUGACUAAGAAGCCCCGGCUAACUACGUGCCAGCAGCCGCGGUAAUACGUAGGGGGCAAGCGUUAUCCGGAUUUACUGGGUGUAAAGGGAGCGUAGACGGCAUAACAAGUCUGAUGUGAAAGGCUGGGGCUUAACCCCGGGACUGCAUUGGAAACUGUUAAGCUUGAGUGCCGGAGGGGUAAGCGGAAUUCCUAGUGUAGCGGUGAAAUGCGUAGAUAUUAGG